rnacentral:rRNA from 1 species
GAUGAACGCUGGCGGCGUGCCUAAUACAUGCAAGUCGAGCGAACAGAUGAGGAGCUUGCUCCUCUGACGUUAGCGGCGGACGGGUGAGUAACACGUGGAUAACCUACCUAUAAGACUGGGAUAACUUCGGGAAACCGGAGCUAAUACCGGAUAAUAUAUUGAACCGCAUGGUUCAAUAGUGAAAGACGGUUUUGCUGUCACUUAUAGAUGGAUCCGCGCCGCAUUAGCUAGUUGGUAAGGUAACGGCUUACCAAGGCAACGAUGCGUAGCCGACCUGAGAGGGUGAUCCGCCACCCUGGAACUGAGAAACGGUCCAGACCCCUAAGGGAGGCAGCAGUAGGGAAUCUUCCGCAAUGGGCGAAAGCCUGACGGAGCAACGCCGCGUGAGUGAUGAAGGUCUUCGGAUCGUAAAACCCUGUUAUUAGGGAAGAACAAAUGUGUAAGUAACUAUGCACGUCUUGACGGUACCUAAUCAGAAAGCCACGGCUAACUACGUG